AUGAACGCUAGCUACAGGCUUAACACAUGCAAGUCGAGGGGCAGCAUGAAUCAAGCUUGCUUGAUUGAUGGCGACCGGCGCACGGGUGCGUAACACGUAUCCAAUCUACCCAUGGCUCAGGGAUAGCCUUUCGAAAGAAAGAUUAAUACCUGAUGGUUUCAUGAGCCCGCAUGGACUUAUGAAUAAAGAUUUAUCGGCGAUGGAUGAGGAUGCGUCCGAUUAGAUAGUAGGCGGGGUAACGGCCCACCUAGUCGACGAUCGGUAGGGGCUCUGAGAGGAGGAUCCCCCACAUUGGAACUGAGACACGGUCCAAACUCCUACGGGAGGCAGCAGUGAGGAAUAUUGGUCAAUGGGCGAGAGCCUGAACCAGCCAAGUAGCGUGAAGGGAUGACUGCCCUAUGGGUUGUAAACCUCUUUUGUUUGGGAAUAAAGUGAGCCACGUGUGGCUUUUUGUAUGUACCUUACGAAUAAGCAUCGGCUAAUUCCGUGCCAGCAGCAGC
rnacentral:rRNA from 1 species